rnacentral:rRNA from 1 species
UAGGGAAUCUUCCACAAUGGGCGAAAGCCUAAUGGAGCAACGCCGCGUGUGUGAUGAAGGGUUCCGGCUCGUAAAACACUGUUGUAAGAGAAGAAUGACAUUGAGAGUAACUGUUCAAUGUGUGACGGUAUCUUACCAGAAAGGAACGGCUAAAUACGUGCCAG